CUUGAGGUCUAUCCCGAUGGGUCUUUGAUGUAGGACCAUAUCGUUGGAAAUGCCUCAGAAAUUAAUCUUGCAGUUUCGCUUUACCUGCUAACUUUAUCUUUAGUGGGAUAAAACUGCAUUACACGG